rnacentral:rRNA from 1 species
AGAAAUUUACGCUAAUACCGCAUACGAUCUAAGGAUGAAAGCGGGGGAUCGCAAGACCUCGCGCAAUUGGAGCGGCUGAUAUCAGAUUAGCUUGUUGGUGAGGUAAAAGCUCACCAAGGCGACGAUCUGUAGCUGGUUUGAGAGAACGACCAGCCACACUGGGACUGAGACACGGCCCAGACUCCUACGGGAGGCAGCAGUGGGGAAUUUUGGACAAUGGGCGAAAGCCUGAUCCAGCAAUGCCGCGUGUGGGAAGAAGGCCUUCGGGUUGUAAACCACUUUUGUACGGAACGAAACGGUCUUCUUUAAUAA